AGGCCAUGAUUUGGGCAACUCCGGAUGAUUCCCUUAAAACGCUCCCAAGAUUCAUAGAAUGACUCAAGAUCCUUUUGCCCAAAGGACAUGAUAUCCGCCUAGAUUU